rnacentral:rRNA from 1 species
UACGUAGGGGGCGAGCGUUAUCCGGAUUUACUGGGCGUAAAGCGAGUUAAGGCGGUUGGCAAAGUUGGUUGUGAAAUCUCAGGGCUCAACCCUGAAAUUGCGACCAAUACUGGUCGACUAGAGUGCAGGAGAGGAAGGUGGAAUUCCCGGUGUAGUAGUGAAAUGCGUAGAUAUCGGGAGGAACACCAGUGGCGAAGGCGGCCUUCUGGCCUGCAACUGACGCUGUAGCUCGAAAGCGUGGGGAGCGAACCGG